rnacentral:rRNA from 1 species
UGAGGAAUUUUCGGCAAUGGGCGCAAGCCUGACCGAGCAACGCCGCGUGCAGGAAGAAGGUCUACGGAUCGUAAACUGCUUUUAUCGGGGAAGAGGAAGGACGGUACCCGGUGAAGAAGCCCCGGCUAACUACGUGCCAGCAGCCGCGGUAAUACGUAGGGGGCGAGCGUUAUCCGGAAUCAUUGGGCGUAAAGCGCACGCAGGCGGCUCGCCAAGUUCAUCCUGACACUUCUCGGCUCAACCGAGAACGGGGGAUGAAAACUGGCGAACUUGAGAGCGAGAGAGGGACAUGGAACUCCGGGUGGAGCAGUGAAAUGCGUAGAGAUCUGGAAGAACACCAAAGGCGAAGGCAGUGUCCUGGCUCGUUUCUGACGCUCAGGUGCGAAAGCCAGGGGAGCGAACGGGGAUUAGAUACCCCGGUAGUCCUGGCCGUAAACGAUGACCACUAGACGUGGGAGGGAUCGACCCCUUCCGUGUCGCAGUUAACGCGCUAAGUGGUCCGCCUGGGGAGUACGAGCGCAAGCUUAAAAAC